rnacentral:rRNA from 1 species
AUUGAACGCUGGCGGCAGGCUUAACACAUGCAAGUCGAGCGGUAACAGAGAGAAGCUUGCUUUUCUGCUGACGAGCGGCGGACGGGUGAGUAAUGCCUAGGAAUCUGCCUAGUAGUGGGGGAUAACUUGCCGAAAGGUAAGCUAAUACCGCAUACGUCCUACGGGAGAAAGGAGGGGACCUUCGGGCCUUUCGCUAUUAGAUGAGCCUAGGUCGGAUUAGUUAGUUGGGGAGGUAAUGGCUCACCAAGACCGCGAUCCGUAACGGGUCUGAGAGGAUGAUAAGUCGCACUGGAACUGAGACACGGUCCAGACUCCUACGGGAGGCAGCAGUGGGGAAUAUUGGACAAUGGGGGGAACCCUGAUCCAGCCAUGCCGCGUGUGUGAAGAAGGUCUUAGGAUUGUAAAGCACUUUAAGUUGGGAGGAAGAGCAGUUAACUAAUAUUUGACUGUUUUGACGUUACCGACAGAAUAAGCACCGGCUAACUUCGUGCCAGCCGCCGCCGUAACAC